rnacentral:rRNA from 1 species
CCUACGUGAGGCAGCAGUGGGGAAUCUUCCGCAAUGGACGAAAGUCUGACGGAGCAACGCCGCGUGAGUGAUGACGGCCUUCGGGUUGUAAAGCUCUGUUAAUCGGGACGAAAGGCCUUCUUGCGAAUAGUGAGAAGGAUUGACGGUACCGGAAUAGAAAGCCACGGCUAACUACGUGCCAGCAGCCGCGGUAAUACGUAGGUGGCAAGCGUGGGCCGGAAUUAUUGGGCGUAAAGCGCGCGCAGGCGGAUAGGUCAGUCUGUCUUAAAAGUUCGGGGCUUAACCCCGUGAUGGGUUGGAAACUGCCAAUCUAGAGUAUCGGAGAGGAGAGUGGAAUUCCUAGUGUAGCGGUGAAAUGCGUAGAUAUUAGGAAGAACCCCAGUGGCGAAGGCGACUUUCUGGACGAAACCUGACGCUGAGGCUCGAAAGCCAGGGGAGCGAACGGGAUUAGAUACCCGAGUAGUC